AACGAACGCUGGCGGCGUGCUUAACACAUGCAAGUCGAACGGAGUGGCGAACGGGUGAGUAACAAAUGGGUGACCUGCCCUUCACUUCGUGGUAAGCCUGGGAAACUGGGUCUAAUACCGGCUAGUGUUGUAGGGGCCCGCGGCCUAUAAGCUUGUUGGUGGGGUAAUGUCCUAACACGGCGGCGACGGGUAGCCGGCCUGGGAGGGGGGACGGCCACAUGGGUACGGAGAGACUGCCCAGACUCCUACGGGAGGCAGCAGUGGGGAAUAUUGCACAAUGGGCGGAAGCCUGAUGCAGCGACGCCGCGUGGGGGAUGACGGCCUUCGGGGUGUAAACUCCGUUAACGAUCGACGCGGUAGAUGGAGAAGAAGCACCGGCUAACUACGUGCCAGCAGCCGCGGUAAUUC
rnacentral:rRNA from 1 species